rnacentral:rRNA from 1 species
AUUGGGCCCCUUUAUUAAAUGAUUCUUUUUAGAUCUUUCUUUUUUGCUUAAAAAAAAAUAGAAGAUCUAGUUACUUUGAGUAAAAUAGAGUGUUCAAAGCAAACAGAUUAUAGCAUCUUUAUGCGUUUGAAUACUACAGCAUGGAAUAACAAAAUUGAACAAGUCAGAAUUUUGUUCUUUUUUCUUAUUUUGGCUUAGUUACGAUUAAUAGGAGUAGCUUGGGGGCAUUUGUAUUCAGAUGUCAGAGGUGAAAUUCUUAGAUUUUCUGGAGACAAACAACUGCGAAAGCAUUUGCCUAAAAUACUUCCAUUAAUCAAGAACGAAAGUUAAGGGAGUGAAGACGAUCAGAUACCGUCGUAAUCUUAACCAUAAACUAUGCCGAACUAGGGCAUUUUGGGGAAAGAUUUUAAAAUAAGAGUUUCUUUUCUGAGGAGUUUGUCCCCCUGUCUUGUUGAUUAUCUUUC